UCCUGGUUAACCCAGGCAGUCUCGUUAGAGUUCCCACCUAAAAUGUUGGCAACUAACGAUAAGGGUUGCGCUCGUUGCGGGACUUAACCCAACACCUCACGGCACGAGCUGACGACAGCCAUGCAGCACCUGUGCAGAGGCCCCGAAGGGAGAUGUAAUUUCUUACACUGUCCUCUGCAUGUCAAGUCUGGGUAAGGUUCUUCGCGUUGCAUCGAAUUAAACCACAUGCUCCACUGCUUGUGCGGGUCCCCGUCAAUUCUUUUGAGUUUCAGCCUUGCGACUGUACUCCCCAGGCGGUAUACUUAUCGCGUUAGCUACGGCACAGUUAGGGUUGAGUCCAACUACACCAAGUAUACAUCGUUUACGGCUAGGACUAC
rnacentral:misc_RNA from 1 species